CAUCAUAUUAUAACUUAUAUAAAUUACAAAAUAAUUUUCAACAAUUACAAAUAGCCUUGAAUUAUUUAAAUCAUGAUCAUAAUGUGAAUUUUAUCCCUAAUAUAACAGAAACUUUAAGAUUAUUAGCUUCAAAAUUAUAUUCAGAUAUUAUAUUAAAUAUCGAAAAAUUACAUGAAAACAAUAAUAUUAUUAAAACUCUAUGUUCAUAUACAGAAAGUAUUAUUCAAAAAUGUGCCAAAAGCAUAAUAUCUGCUGCUCCAUUAGAAAUAUAUUUUAAUACAUAUCAAAAUUUUAAUAUUUUACAAUAUUUAGAGAAUUAUGCAUCUUCUCUAAAUCUAAGCUUUGAAUUCAGAAAUUCUAUGAUCAAAACAUUUGUUAUUGAUCUGGAUUUAGACCUACAACAUAUAUUUCAAAUAUUUUAUCAAAGAUGGUUAG